CCGGGCCAACGCGCGGUUAAUGUCCAGGAGAGUGGCCUUCCGCAUGGAGGGUUGACUAGAGAUUUAUCGGUAUGGGAUGAGCUUGCGUCCGAUUAGCUAGUUGGCGGGGCAACGGCCCACCAAGGCGACGAUCGGUAGCCGGCCUGAGAGGGUGAUCGGCCACAUUGGGACUGAGAUACGGCCCAGACUCCUACGGGAGGCAGCAGUAGGGAAUAUUGCACAAUGGGGGAAACCCUGAUGCAGCAACGCCACGUGUGGGAAGAAGCAUUUCGGUGUGUAAACCACUGUCAUGAGGGAAUAAGGCCCGCCUUCGGGCGGGAUUGAAUGUACCUUGAGAGGAAGCACCGGCAAACUUCGUGCCAGCAGCCGCGGUAAUACGAGGGGUGCAAGCGUUGUUCGGAAUUACUGGGCGUAAAGGGAGCGUAGGCGGAGAUUCAAGCGGAUUGUACAAUCCCGGGGCCCAACCCCGGUUCUGCAGUCCGAACUGGAUCUCUUGGAUAGUUCAGGGGCAGGCGGAAUUCCUGGUGUAGCGGUGGAAUGCGUAGAGAUCAGGGAGAACACCGAUAGCGAAGGCAGCCUGCUGGGGACUUAUCGACGCUGAGGCUCGAAAGUGCGGGUAGCAAACAGGAUUAGAUACCCUGGUAGUCCGCACCGUAAACAAUGCAUACUGGGUGUCCGGGGGGUUCCCCGGGUACCGUAGCCAACGCGUUAAGUAUGCCGCCUGGGGAGUACGUACGCAAGUAUGAAACUCAAAGGAAUUGACGGGGGCCCGCACAAGCGGUGGAGCAUGUGGUUUAAUUCGAAGCAACGCGCAGAACCUUACCAGGGUUUGACAUGAGAACACCGCGGCAAGAGAU
rnacentral:rRNA from 2 species